UACGUAGGGUGCAAGCGUUAAUCGGAAUUACUGGGCGUAAAGCGUGCGCAGGCGGUUUUGUAAGUCUGUCGUGAAAGCCCCGGGCUCAACCUGGGAAUUGCGAUGGAGACUGCAAGGCUUGAAUCUGGCAGAGGGGGGUAGAAUUCCACGUGUAGCAGUGAAAUGCGUAGAGAUGUGCAGGAACACCGAUGGCGAAGGCAGCCCCCUGGGUCAAGAUUGACGCUCAUGCACGAAAGCGUGGGGAGCAAACAGG
rnacentral:rRNA from 1 species